UUAGCUACUAGUAACUAAUUUGGAUUUAAAAAAAUAAAAAUCUACCUAUUCCACUUUAGACAUACAUUUCAUAGUACUCACGUAACAUGCAUUACAUAAUAGUACAUGUUUUGCAUACAGUCAAUAAUACAUAUUUGAUAUAGAUAAUUAAUACACACAUAUAUAUAUACAAUAUACGCCACGCGUAUAGGUCGUCAGCGUCGGCACCUCCACAAGCCCGUGUUGAUGUCGUCGGUGUCGCCGCCGCCGCAGCACCGUGAGGAUGCCGUCGUCAUCGCUGCAGCAGCCCCGUGUCGAUGUUGAUGCCGUCAACGCCGCCACCCCAGCCCCGUGUAGAUGUCAAUGUCGAUGCACCUAAUUGAUGUGAAAAUGGAUAGGGAGCAUAGAGCAGAUCAAUGGUUCAAACUUUCAAAGGCUUGAGGUUGGAUUCGCUUUGGUAUGCUUACGAAAAAGAGCAGAAAAAACAAAGUCAUGUUGAACUCUAGACUACAUCAUUUUGUUCUAUGUUAGUGAUGUCUUGUAGACAGUUAGCAUAUUUAUAUAACUCAAAUUCACUUUAUGUAUACUUAGCAGAUUGGUGCCAACCAGCUGAACACCAUGAGGCAGAGGGUUACCUAAACAGACAACACCAGUAGCAACGAGGCAAAAGGAAACUAGGAAGUAAUCUCUAGUUUCUAUUUUUUAAGUGAGCAUUUUACCACACCUGAUGUUCCCCGUGAGGGAGGCUGUUGUUCAUUUUGUGAUUCUCUUCUGCCAAAUGUUUACCAUGAAUAGUUUCAUUUUUAUAAAGCUAAUUUCCCUUGUCUUUUUCUCAUUAAUCCAUUAUAGUUAUUAAUUGGAUAAAUCCCACGAGUAAGAAAGCAGUGAAUCUAAAUUUAGGGUCGCAUACCUGGGCAUUCUCACUCCUAUGUAUAUAUAUAUGCAGAUAAAAAGCUCUAAUAGUAAACCCAAGAACCAAUAUAUGCAGCUAGUACAUUCUCCCAGAUUUGUCUGCUAAGAACAUGCAAAUACUGAUUGUAGAUGUCGUGGAGCCAUCGCCUACAAAAGAAAUGAGUAAAUUGAUAAGAACAUGCUCCCUAUAUGCAGAAAGUGGUAAACCUAUUAAGUUUAGAGGAAGAGGGUGGUGAGAGGGGGUCUGGGCAGAGGUUUCCUAGCCAUAUUAAAUCCGCUACCCAAUUGGCUAUAAUUAAUAGAAACAGUAUACAAAUUCUGAAUUUUUUGGACGACAUUGGCCUAAGAAAACAAACUAAAUGAGGAAUUUAGCUACAAUGCAACCGAAGAUAACCUAUUGAAGCUGAGGUCUCAUACUCCUAGAAAUUGCUCGCACUUAACCUACAAACGUAGGACCUAUGUUCACUAACAGUUCGAACUCCACAUGACUUGUGACUGCAAUCAGAAUUCUGCGUUCCAGUUGUAAUAUUUGCUCAAAGAAAUAUCUAGGACCGAAACUCUGUCAAUUUCAUUUCCAAAAUGUCGAGUAAUUACCAUGAACCAGGGGGUAUCGAGGACAGGGCGUUUUCACCAAGAAUCAUUGCUACAAGGCUCUCUACAUACAUACAGGCAAAGCAAUUUUCACCAAGAAUCAGCUAGCAGUCUAAUAUAAUCCCCUUUCCAAUUACUCAAGGAGGAACUGAUGGAAAAAGACAAGUUAAUUAGCUGGGUACAAAAAUUAAACCUUUUGAGAUGGACGGAUGCCCUCUUCACUCAGAUCUGAAGAUGAUGGACGGAUGCACCCAGCAGCUUUGUCACGGACGGCGACGGAGGAGAAGAACUUUGCACAAACCUUCCCACUCUGUCGCUAUCUUCUACCUGUAAAUGAAAACAGACCUUACUUAUCAGAGAAGCAAAUGUGAAAUUGUUCAGAUUAGAUGUAUUCAACAGAGACACUUCAAUCACGGACAGACAUACAAAUACAGCUCAUGCUGCUCUCGAUCCGCUGUCAGGGAUCCCCCACACCCGUAUAGGCGUCCAUCAUCCUGUCUCCCUCUCCCCCACUCGAUCGUGUGUCGUCCGCGUCCAAGCAGCUGCCAUCUAUAAGAAACUUUAUACGUAAACGACUAGUCAAAAUACGUAAACGACUACUCUGCGAGGUUUCCAUCUAAGAAACUAUCUACAGACUCCCCGCCGCCGCCAACAAAGGGAACCGCCGGAGAUGGACAGGGAGAGAGGCAGGGGAGCGGCGACGUGCGUGAUUGCGUGCUUACCCCUGCGGCGCGAAGGGCCGGACCGGGACGACAACGGUGACAGAUGGCGACGGGGAAGGAAGAGACGACGCCGCGCGGAGGCCGGGAGCCCGUCCUUGGCUGCUGGAGACGCCGAGCAGCAGUUUCCCUUGUGUGCAGGGGCCUCCGAUGGACAGCANNN
rnacentral:lncRNA from 1 species